rnacentral:rRNA from 1 species
GACGAACGCUGGCGGCGUGCUUAACACAUGCAAGUCGAACGGAAAGGCCCUGCUUUUGUGGGGUGCUCGAGUGGCGAACGGGUGAGUAACACGUGAGUAACCUGCCCUUGACUUUGGGAUAACUUCAGGAAACUGGGGCUAAUACCGGAUAGGAGCUCCUGCUGCAUGGUGGGGGUUGGAAAGUUUCGGCGGUUGGGGACGGACUCGCGGCUUAUCAGCUUGUUGGUGGGGUAGUGGCUUUCCAAGGCUUUGACGGGUAGCCGGCCUGAGAGGGUGACCGGCCACAUUGGGACUGAGAUACGGCCCAGACUCCUACGGGAGGCAGCAGUGGGGAAUAUUGCACAAUGGGCGGAAGCCUGAUGCAGCAACGCCGCGUGCGGGAUGACGGCCUUCGGGUUGUAAACCGCUUUCGCCUGUGACGAAGCGUGAGUGACGGUAAUGGGUAAAGAAGCACCGGCUAACUACGUG